rnacentral:lncRNA from 1 species
GAAGGGUAAACUCGCACCUGUUCUACCCAGAAGAGUGGCUCAAGUUCACAUUCAGAAUUUAUUUGUUGAAAGAGUAUCUCCACUUUAUCACAAUCGAGCACUUCCAAUUCUUUCAGAAGUGGCCAGCUUGAACUAAACCUUCUAGAGCAAAAUCUUUUGAGUUGGUGUAAACCGGAGAGUGUGAGAGAGGUAAGGUUAGGGAAUGAGAGUAAAGGUGCUGCUUCAUCUUCAUUUUCAUUGGCAACAAUUGCCUCCACUCCACUCUCCGAUAUAUAAAGGUCCUCAAGUUGCACAAGAGCACUCGCCACAGAAACCGGAAAAAGGUUUAGCAAUUUGUUGCAUCCCCUUACUUGCAAUUUCCUUAAUUUGGAAAAUGAAUUUGCUGGAAGUUGGUCAGGCCACAAUGCUCUUAUAUUAUCUAGUCCGCGUACAGACAAGGACUCCAAACCUGGGAGUGCAACCUGUGCAAUUGAUGAUCCCUUUAGUUAAUAAUAUAUACAUAUACAUUCCUAAUAAUUAGACACAUGUAAAUAGAAAAUAAGAGGUUAAAGGAGAAUAUAUCAGUAUAACAAAGCACAAAAUUUAAACUCUAUUCAAGAAGAUCCAGAAAGAGAAAAGAAAACGCCUUUUGAUUUUGAAGAUCCAAUGAAACUUUAAAAAAAAAAAAAAAAACCUCCAAAUUUUGCUUUCCAAAUGAGGUAAUAGGAGGAUAUUUUUAUUUUAUUUUUUCUUUGCCUCUCUUUCAAAUUUGAUUAACUUCCAUGGAAAACGUAUUUUAACUAGCCAUGGAAAAUGGAUUUUUUUUUUAAAACUUUUAUAUAAGAUACAAGAACUCUUAGAGGGUUACAUUAUGUAAGUAAUACUUUAAAAAAAAUGUUUAAAAAUAUUGUGAUAUCCAAAAAUUUUACUACCUCGGAUUUUAAAUUUUAAAAAAAUUAUUUUUAAAGAAAUAAGGUAAAUCUAUACUUUUUCGUAUAAGAUAUUCUACCUUUAUAUACAAAUUUCUGAUUUUUUUUUUAAAGUGUAUCCAAAUGGACACUAAACUAUCUAGUUUCGAAUUUUUACAACUUUGAAUUGGAUUUUAUGGUAAACUAAUUGACAAUAUAACGCAUGGAUUCAUCUUAGAUUCCAUCUAUAAAUUUUUUAAUUAUCUAAUAUAAGACAUUAUAUUAAUGGGUUGAAUUAAUAAUGUAAUUAUAAUUUAUUUGGCAACUUUCUUCCUUCAAAUAUAUAAGACGAAAAUAUAUUUUAAAAAAUAAAAAAGAAUGAUAAAAAAUAGAAAAUAAAAAUAGCUUAUUUUAUUGUUUUUCUAAGAUGAUUUUGUAGAGUGUUAGUUUAUAGUUUAACUUUAUUUCAUUUUACUUUUAACAUUAUUUAUUGAGGUAUGUUCUUUUUUGAAACUCUUGUUUAGAUUUUAUAGAGAAUAUAAAUUUUAAGAAAAAAAAUGAAAUUUAAAUAAAAUAAGAAUAAAGAAAGGCAAAAGGUGGAUGAAUUUUUUGAAGGCAAAAGUUUGAUAAUUUGGCACUGUCAUGUAAUGGGUGAAAUUUUUAAAUACUCAACAAAGGCUAGUGAAAUUUAAAUUAAAACCUUGACAUGUACCUUUUCGACCAAAAUCUUUGGAGUUGGUGUAAAGUUUUGAGUAUGAGAGAGGUUAGUCUAGGGAAUAUUAUUGCACAUUAGUUCAAAUAAAACAUCAACAUUUUUUUUUGUUAAAUUCUAAAUGAACACCACUAUAAAUUAAUGCGAUUUUGUAUGCUCAAUUAAAUAAACUCGUUCUUAAGGCAUCACAUGAAGUGUUUAAGUCUAAUUAAUAUUAAUUAAAAAUGAUUAUAUCAAAAAAAAUCCAAAGUAAUUUUUUUUUAUCAUAAGUCAAGUAGGAUAGUUUUAUAAAUAAUUGGUUCUAGUUUCUAGUAUUAUUGUACACAAUCGCUAUGUUUGUUGCACCUCCAAAAAAUCUACUACUUGUAAUUAAUUGUAUAUUAUUCUCCAUAUUCACAUCAGUUUAUGUAGUAUGAUUAAUUUAGCAACAAAAUAUAAGUUUACUUGAAAUCGCUUUAAAUUCCUAUGAUAUUAAAGUUUAAGAUUAAAACAAUGUAACAUUAGCCAAAAAGACUAAGAUCUAUAAUGUAACAAAUAAAAUUUAGAAAAUUCAAGGCAGGGUAAACUCGCACCUGUUCUACCCAGAAGAGUGGCUCAAGUUCACAUUCAGAAUUUAUUUGUUGAAAGAGUAUCUCCACUUUAUCACAAUCGAGCACUUCCAAUUCUUUCAGAAGUAGCCAGCUUGAACUAAACCUUCUAGAGCAAAAUCUUUUGAGUUGGUGUAAACCGGAGAGUGUGAGAGAGGUAAGGUUAGGGAAUAAGAGUAAAGGUGCUGCUUCAUCUUCAUUUUCAUUGGCAACAAUUGCCUCCACUCCACUCUCCGAUAUAUAUAGGUCCUCAAGUUGCACAAGAGCACUCGCCACAGAAACCCGAAAAAGGUUUAGCAAUUUGUUGAAUCCCCUUACAUGCAAUUUCCUUAAUUUGGAAAAUGAAUUUGUUGGAAGUUGGUCAGGCCACAAUGCUCUUAUAUUAUCCAGUCCGCAUACAUACAAGGACUCCAAGCCUUGGAGUGCAACCUGUGCAAUUGAUAAUCCCUUUGGUUAAUAAUAUAUACAUAUACAUUCCUAAUGAUUAGACACAUGUAAAUAGAAAAUAAGAGGUUAAAGGAGAAUAUAUCAGUAUAACAAAGCACAAAAUUUAAACUAGAUUAAAGAAGAUCAAGAAAGAGAAAAGAAAAGAAAAAGCCUCCAGAUUUUGAAGAUACAAUGAAACUUAAAAAAAAAAAAAAAAAACCUCCAAAUUUUCCUUUCGAAAUGAGGUAAUAAGAGGAUUUUUUUUUUCUUUUUUCUUUGCCUCUCUUUCAAAUUUGAUUAACUUCUAUGGAAAACGUAUUUUAACUAGUUAUGGAAAACGGAUUUUUUUUUUUAAAAACUUUUAUAUAAGAUACAAGUAAUACUUUAAAAAAAUUGUGAUAUCUAAAAAAUUUUUUGAAAAAUUAUUUUUAAAGAAAUAAGGUAAAUCUAUACUUUUUGUAUAAGAUGUUCUACCUUUGUAUUCAAAUUUCUGAUUUUUUUUUUUUAAAGUGUAUCCAAAUGCACACUAAACUAUCUAGUUUUUAAUUGUUACAACUUUGAAUUGGAUUUUAUGGUAAACUAAUUUACAAGUUAAUGCAUAGAUUCAUCUUAGAUUCCAUCUAUAAAUUUUUUUAAUUAUCUAAUAUAAGACAGUAUAUUAAUGGGUUGAAUUAAUAAUGUAAUUAUAAUUUAUUUGGCAACUUUCUUCCUUCAAAUAUAUAAAAUGAAAAUAAAUUUUAAAAAAUAAAAAAUAAAAAAAAGAUUUUUUUUAUAGUUUUUCUAAGAUGAUUUUGUAGAGUUCUGUUAGUUUAUAGUUUUCACUUUAUUUAUUGAGGUAUGUUCUUUUUUGAAACUCUUGUUUAGAUUUUAUUGAGAAUAUAAAUUUUAAGAAAAAAAAUAAAAUUUAAAUAAAAUAAGAAUAAAGAAAGGCAAAAGCUGGAUGAAUUUUUUUAAGGCAAAAGUUUGAUAAUUUGGCACUCUCAUGUAAUGGGUGAAAUUUUUAAAUACUCAACAAAGGCUAGUGAAAUUUAAAUUAAAACCAUGACAUGUACCUUUUAGACCAAAAUCUUUGGAGUUGGUGUAAUGUUUUGAGUAUGAGAGAGGUUAGUCUAGGGAAUAUUAUUGCACAUUAGUUCAAAUAAAACAUCAACAUUUUUUUUUGUUAAAUUCUAAAUGAACACCACUAUAAAUUAAUGCGAUUUUGUAUGCUCAAUUAAAUAAACUCGUUCUUAAGGCAUCACAUGAAGUGUUUAAGUCUAAUUAAUAUUAAUUAAAAAUGAUUAUAGUAAAAAAAAUCCAAAGUAAUUUUUUUUUAUCAUAAGUCAAGUAGGAUAGUUUUAUAAAUAAUUGGUUCUAGUUUCUAGUAUUAUUGUAGACAAUCGCUAUGUUUGUUGCACCUCCAAAAAAUCUACUACUUGUAAUUAAUUGUAUAUUAUUCUCCAUAUUCACAUCAGUUUAUGUAGUAUGAUUAAUUUAGCAACAAAAUAUAAGUUUACUUGAAAUGGCUUUAAAUUCCUAUGAUAUUAAAGUUUAAGAUUAAAACAAUGUAACAUUAGCAAAAAAGAUUAAGAUCUAUAAUGUAACAAAUAAAAUUUAGAAAAUUCAAGGCAGGGUAAACUCGCACCUGUUCUACCCAGAAGAGUGGCUCAAGUUCACAUUCAGAAUUUAUUUGUUGAAAGAGUAUCUCCACUUUAUCACAAUCGAGCACUUCCAAUUCUUUCAGAAGUAGCCAGCUUGAACUAAACCUUCUAGAGCAAAAUCUUUUGAGUUGGUGUAAACCGGAGAGUGUGAGAGAGGUAAGGUUAGGGAAUAAGAGUAAAGGUGCUGCUUCAUCUUCAUUUUCAUUGGCAACAAUUGCCUCCACUCCACUCUCUGAUAUAUAUAGGUCCUCAAGUUGCACAAGAGCACUCGCCACAGAAACCCGAAAAAGGUUUAGCAAUUUGUUGAAUCCCCUUACAUGCAAUUUCCUUAAUUUGGAAAAUGAAUUUGUUGGAAGUUGGUCAGGCCACAAUGCUCUUAUAUUAUCCAGUCCGCAUACAUACAAGGACUCCAAGCCUGGGAGUGCAACCUGUGCAAUUGAUAAUCCCUUUGGUUAAUAAUAUAUACAUAUACAUUCCUAAUAAUUAGACACAUGUAAAUAGAAAAUAAGAGGUUAAAGG